CAGACUGUAUGAUGUUGUCAGGCAUUCAAAUGCAUCAAUGUGCCAAGAAAAUGAUGGCGCCAAGAUAUGCUGAGGGAGAUGGCAAUCUCAAAUUGUCGGAACUAAUAAAGUCCGAAUAUUGCCCCAAAUACUGAAUAUCAAAAAUAUUAAUUGAAUUGCUUAUUAUAACUCCACUAAUUACAUGAAAAGUAGGCAGUAUUUAUAAGAAAGGUCAUGCUUAGAUACGCAAGGGAUAGUACUGAGCAUUGCUAAGUUUUAUAUAGCGGGACAUUCAUGCUGCUGCUCGAAUCUUCUCGAAUCUUUGAUAGCAGAACUUACCAAGUUCUUGAUACAAAUCACCAGCAAAGAGGCACUGAUGUUGGCCCGUGAAUGAAUAUAUUUACAAAGUUCAUUUUUUGACCACUUAUAGGAUUUAUUUUCUUUUGAAAUAUAAUCAUUUGGUAGCAGACAUGUGAGGUACAGAUAACUAAGGGAAGAUUUCGCUUGCACAUCAAGUGACGCCCAUGCUCCUUUCUGCGGCAUUUUGCAAAGAACUAGAAGGUAAUUGAUUUGCUUGGAUGGGUCCAUAUGUGCAUUCUUCUCUACUCCUUCACUUUCGGCUUUUGCCCGUAUAUCACAUAUAAUUCGCGGUAUAUGUGAAGUCCCUCUCUUUUCAGAUCAUCUCUCACUAGAGCCAGACAUACUUGCAAUUCAUCCAUUGACCACUGAAGACCCUG
rnacentral:sRNA from 2 species